rnacentral:rRNA from 1 species
UACGUAGGGGGCGAGCGUUAUCCGGAUUCACUGGGUGUAAAGGGAGCGUAGACGGCCAAGCAAGCCAGGGGUGAAAGCCCGGGGCCCAACCCCGGGACUGCCCUUGGAACUGCAUGGCUGGAGUGCGGGAGGGGCAGGCGGAAUUCCUAGUGUAGCGGUGAAAUGCGUAGAUAUUAGGAGGAACACCAGUGGCGAAGGCGGCCUGCUGGACGAUGACUGACGUUGAGGCUCGAAAGCGUAGGGAGCAAACAGG